UCCGAUACGUAAUGGGCUAAUAGUUUAUAAAUAGUUUUAGAGUGGAGCUGUUGGCGCAUGCGCUGUGGCGACGUCGCGUUCAGUGAGAGCAACAUUACCUGGUGGCUGUAUAUAAAUAUGAAUAUUGAACCGCGGUAUCGGAGAAAUCGUACAACUUUUGCAUCUGGUGUUUGUUCAACACAGUGGAGCCAGUGAGUCUUGGUGUGGGACAGGGGAGGCUAGCUGCCUUCAUUCGGUGGUGUGCUUCACCGUGUGUGCAGACACAACAACUUCCUUAUGGUAGCUUACUGGGCAAUGCCACAUGGACUACACAGAGUACAUAUAAAGGUUAACGGUUGUGACUGAUCUAUGGCGUCUUACGUUGUUCACCUCAAAUAUCAACUCUUCCGGAAACUGUCUGCCUACACGAAGACUGUAACAGAAGCUUUUCGAGAGGCUUUCAUAUACCACUCCGUGCUGGGAGUCAUAUAACUUAUUUAAGGCAGGUCAGGAGCAGCUGAGCGCAGAAUUAUUUCACAUUGUAAGCACUGAAGCAGCAGACCAUCAGCAUCACAAACCAGUGUAACCAAUGGGCUUUGAAAAGACCUGCAUGAGCGGAAUAAUAAGUGUUCAUACUGCAUUUUUCAUUACCCAUCACGCCGGUGUGCUAUACACAAAGUUAAUGUAGAUGGAUAGAAUUUUGUAUGUGUGUAUAAUGUAUAUGGUGAAUUUCAAACAACAUCUGGAGAGCCGUUUGUGCCGGAAUGGUGUACGUCUAAUCGUGCAUAAAAUACAAAACCAGCAGGUCUUUUUUGAAAUGAUAUUUAUUAAUUAACUUUUAUAGCUUUCUUUUCUGUUCGAUUGGGUCGGUGACAUCACAUGGGUUUAAUCCGAGCCUUCAAAACUCAAAGACUAGUUUAAUUAAGAUAAUGUGCUCUGUUCAUGAACAUUUCAGGAAUAAAAAGCUCCAAUAAAUAGCCAAAAUAAUGUUCAAGCAGGUUGAAAAAUGUUUGAGAACCCAAGCUUUAAAAUUUUUAGAUUAAAUUCUUUUCUUUUUUUUUUCUUUUUCUUUUUUUUUUUUUUUAAAGUUUGUCUUGGAACUGAAAUUUGAUUUGAGUUAGAGCACCAGUAAUACGUUUAUGACACGGUACUUCAAUAAAACUAUUUUAAAAAUCGAUAAACACUUGGGGAAGUCUGCAGCAGCUCAUGUUCAGUAUCAAAGUGUGUGUGUGUGUGAGAGGAGAGUGAGAGAGAGUUCUUUGACUUUCUCACAUUGAAGCAAAUACUGAAACUAAAUCAUUUGUACAGAAUGUUUAGGCAGAACGCUACAGUUUGAUAAAUAGUCAAACAUUGUUAAAUAUGGUGCAAAAUGUGACUAUUUUUCUGUAUAUACAGAAUAAACAGAUGCUCAAAGUCUAAGACUAAUUGUUUGUGUGUGUGUGUGUGUGUGUGUGUGUGUGUGUGUGUGUGUGUGUGUGUGUGUGUGUGUGUGAGUGAGAAUAGGUUCUCAGUCUAUAUGGGGCUGUUUUUGCUCAUGCUGGUCAUUUUAAUACAUCUCGUGUGGCCAUUGUUUGACUUCCUGCAGUUCUCCACUGAAUGCCCUCAUUUGGGAUGACACUGUAAAUAUCCUCGAGCCACGAGCUCCAUCUGCAACCAAGCACACAUAGCUGUGUCAAGGACAGCAACAGCAAAGAAGAUAAUGGUGUAGCUCAUAAACAGAUCAUCAACUUGUGAGAUUUUGGGUGGAGGGAUGGACAGAUGGACGUGUGGAUGGACAACAGCUUUACUAUUGGACUGUUACACCGCUCUGGCACUGGAGACUCCUUCCAAAAAUGCUCAAUAAAUGGAAAUGUCACAGAAAGCUUCACCAUAUCAACAAUUACACACAUUUAUGUGGAACGUCUGCAAUACCAGUCCCUGUAUAUGUUUUUACUGUUCAGUAUUAUAUAACAUAUUUGAAUGAGAGCAUUAAUUACGAUGUAUAAAUAAACUACACAGAUGGGUCAUUUUUUUUUGUUUGUUUUUUUUUAAUGGAAAAUCAGUCAGCACCUUCUGACCAAUUAGCAUCCAGAAUGCAACAGUGCUAUGCUGUGGUAUAAAAUUAGAAUAAGCAAACAGACAUUCUGUAACAGGGAUGCAGGGAGCAUUAGCUCAACAAUACACUUACAGCCCCCUCCGCUAAUAUUGGCACCCUUGGUAAAUAUGAGCAAAGAAGGCUGUGAAAAAUUGUCUUUAUUGUUUAUCCUUCUUGUUAAAAUAAUUCACAAAAAUACUCUGCUCUCAUGGAUAGCAAACAAUUCCAAACACAUGUUUAUCCAAAGAAAAAAAAAUCUUUGUUAAAUAUAGGUAAAGGCCAUUUUUCACAGCCUUCUUGCUCAUAUUUACCCAGGGUGCGGAUAUUCGUGGAGGGCAGUAAUAAUAGAGUUGCCAUGUAAUAUGGAGCUGAAUCGCUGAUUGCCUGUGGUUCCUGUUCAGGUGUGACCUAUAGUGACCUACAUAAAUAUAAGACUGAAUCAGAAACCAAACAAAAUGGCUUCCAACUCAAAGGUCAUGGAGGUGCACGGUGAGCUGUGUGGUGUGAAGCUGGGUGAUUACCAGCUGACUGAGUAAAAUUAAUUCCCAUUAUGCGAUUAUAAAGAAAUCCUCCGAAUGAAUCUGUGCUCAUGCAGAAAUGAAUGCCUGGUGAUAAUGCUGAAAGAUUCAUCCAGUGCGAGAAUGACUCCAUAUGUCACCUUGAGGACCAUCCAGGGUCCAUUAUAUGAUAAUUGGGUCACUUGUCUUCCUGCUGAAUCCUUUUUCUUUUUUUCUUUUCUUUUCUUUUUAUAAAGUUUUCCCAAUCAUUGGUCUAGAACAUGGCUGAGUGUCACGUAUAGCCUGGCAGCUACAGUAUAGUGACUGCAGCACUUCUCAUAUUACUGACUGUUAUUUUCUAUUUGAAUAAAAUUUGUCAUUCAAACAGUUGUGUAGGACUUUGAAGACUAUCUCUUUUUUUUUGUUUUAACUUCAGACAUAUGAUCCGUUAAACGCUACUUUAUUUAACAAGUCCA
ensembl:lncRNA